rnacentral:rRNA from 1 species
AACUCUCUGGGUUCACCCACAUGCUGUUUCAAAAACUGCUGUGCUUGAAUGGAGAAGAGGCGUGUGGAACUGCGGGUGUAGCGGUUAAAUGCUUAGAUAUCUGCGAGAAUCCCGUGGCGAAAGCGGCUCGCCUGAUCAUUCUGACACUAACGAACGAACGCGAAGGGAGCAAACAAGAUUGUAUACCCUGGCCGUCCUAGCCCUACGCGAUCUAGACUGGGUGUGCCACACCUACCGCCGUCGUCCCGGAGCUAUUCCUUCCCUCCUGCCCCCGUGGGGUAGGGGCUCAAGAUUGAAAUCCUAGAAUUUGACCGGGCCCCCCCAGAGCGUGGGAAUUUUGGGUUCAAUUUCACAAAACCCUAGAAACCCUUUCUGGGUCCAAAAUGCUGGUGAAAGUUGAAUAAAUCUUUUCCUCCCGAGAAGGACUGCAUGAUUGGCGCUGCUUCGCUGUCCUCUUGUCGUGUCAUGUUCUGUUGGGUUCCGUCCC